UACGAAGGGGGCUAGCGUUGCUCGGAAUCACUGGGCGUAAAGGGUGCGUAGGCGGGUCUUUAAGUCAGGGGUGAAAUCCUGGAGCUCAACUCCAGAACUGCCUUUGAUACUGAAGAUCUUGAGUUCGGGAGAGGUGAGUGGAACUGCGAGUGUAGAGGUGAAAUUCGUAGAUAUUCGCAAGAACACCAGUGGCGAAGGCGGCUCACUGGCCCGAUACUGACGCUGAGGCACGAAAGUGUGGGGAGCAAACAGG
rnacentral:rRNA from 1 species